GACGUAGGGCGCGAGCGUUGUCCGGAUUUAUUGGGCGUAAAGAGCUCGUAGGCGGCUUGUCGCGUCGAAUGUGAAAACUCGGGGCUCAACUCCGAGCUUGCAUUCGAUACGGGCAGGCUAGAGUUCGGUAGGGGAGACUGGAAUUCCUGGUGUAGCGGUGAAAUGCGCAGAUAUCAGGAGGAACACCGGUGGCGAAGGCGGGUCUCUGGGCCGAUACUGACGCUAGGAGGAAGCGAAG
rnacentral:rRNA from 1 species